UUCCCGGCCGCUCCCAGGACGAGCUUCCUGACGGCCCGCAGGAGGCGCUCGCGUGCCCUCCUCGUCCCGCUCCGGACGGAGCUGGCGAGGCCACGGACGGGGCCGCCCACCUCGCUCCAAGUUUGUACGCUCUCCAGUUGAUGGGGGUCUUUGUAAAGGGCAAGUAGAAUUAAGAAACCGGGAGCUGGCGAGAUGGCAAGGCGGUUGCGGGGCGCUUGAUCUUGCAGAGUUCCCGGGUUCGAGUCCGAGCUCACAAGGUUGGAUAAGCUGAGAGAGUACGACCUGUUGAUAAGUCGUUUUGAAAGUGAGGCUAUGAGCAACAGUAAAUAAGAUAUGCUCCAAAUUCUAAAGGAAUACAGCAUAGAAGAGGAGCGGAGCGGGCCACAAGACAGCAAAGGAUUCUGCCUGAGCCAGGGGAAGGGCUGUGGGCCAGGGAAGAUUUUCUGGAACUAAUGACCAACAGUCCGAAUUUACUCAGUGGAGUCACGACUGUUGAAUGUGCCUGCUGGACUGAAUAAGCCAAGCUGGAACAGAUGAGCUGUUUUUCUAACCGUGGUUCUGAUGAUGUCCUCACGUCGGCGGUGAGGAGCCCAGGAGCUGUGGGUUCUUUUCGGAAACAGCUGGGCAGCUGAGAAUAGAGCAGGGCCAAAGGCGCCUCUCUGAGCUCCGCACGUGCUCUGAGGUGCCAAGGAAGCCUCUGCUCUUACUCAGAUAACGGCGAUAGCACAAUCCCACGAUGCCAAAUGCCACGCGCAUAUCCUGAGGAUGAGGUCAGUGUCUUCCAGUCAAUGAGACGAUCCGGUUCCCGGGGUUGCACACGCGAGCCCUGCUCAGGGAUGCCUGCUGCAGAAGCAUUCACUGCUCUCCUUGGAAACCACCUGCUCCCUCCAAAUCCAGAUCUCCCAGUGACAUUUCGUGAGGUUUCUGGAGUUCAUCCCCACAGAAGAGGAACGGAUGCAAAGGGUUUGCCGAACUGAGACAUCAAGACACCAUUUUCUUGUUUUUCAUCAGUCAGUGACGCGGAUGGGCAUGUCUGUGCCACUCUGAUUCCCUAUGUUCCCGACUUGGUGCUCAUUUGCCAGGGUCCUGCCUCUGGAGAGUCCUGGAGGAAAAGAUCUCACAGUCUAAAAAUCAAGGAUCCAUUCCUCAGAAACUUCUUGGGGUGUGUGCGGAUGAGGACCGUCCUCCACGCUCCCAGCUGAUGGCUGGCUCUUCAGGAGCUAUGUGGUACAGAGAGGAGGAGAGAGAGUGAGACAAAGACAAUGGGCUGAACUUCUGGGAUGGCCUUUCAGGGCUCGCUGCUCUCCUUUGAUGAACUAACCCUGACUGGAGGAUGCUGACGUGGGCUAGCAGGCUUUUAUGCUUUUGACUGUAAGCACUGGCUUACUUUGGGAAAUUUUUUUUUCACCUGAAAAAAAUGUAUUUAAUUUUAUGUGUGG